UCCCUACUUACAUACUUUACUACAAUUGAUAAAAAGAGGGUUUAAUUUGUGUGCUUAUAUAUUUCGCAUCAAAAUUUUGGCGCCGUUGCCGGGGAUUAGCAACUUUGCUAAUCUCUUGGAUUGUUUUCUUUCAAAUUAUUGUAUUUUGUUUAAGUUUCUGUUGAAGUUGCUGAUUUGUUUUGUUUUCUUUGUUUUUAGGUACUAGUUUAUGACCCGUAGCUCA
rnacentral:lncRNA from 1 species